rnacentral:pre_miRNA from 1 species
GUGACACCCUUCUGGGGCAAGACUUGCUUCAGUGGGGCUUUGGUGCUCACUGAGUCUGCCCUCUGAGUGUGUCCCU